CGCCCAACAGCUAGCCCCUCAAACCAAAAACAACAAACCCCUAUUAAUAACCCCUAAUAUAUUUAAAACUACCAAACCAAACCAUUUUUCCACCCUAGUAUAGGAGAUAGAAAAG
rnacentral:rRNA from 1 species